rnacentral:rRNA from 1 species
GCAAGACUACUUCACGAAGAAUCCAACGUAUCCACCGCACCUCUUCCGGAGAAGGUACCGAAUGCGUCGAGUGUCAAAAUUGUUCAAGCUUGCGAGGCAAAUUGCCGGUAUUUUACUCAAAGAAGAAAUGUUGCGGGCUUAAAGGGAUUUAGUGCAUAUCAAAAAAUCUCCGCGGCAAUGCGAGUGAUUGCAUAUGGUAUUCCGGCUGACUAUGCCGAUGAGUACCUUCGCAUUGGUGAAGAUACUACAAUUGAGUCUGUGCGUAGAUUUGCAAAGGUGAUCAUCCGUGUCUUUGGUCCUGAGUAUCUUCGGGCACCCAACGAAAAUGACACAAAGAAAUUGAUGGCAACUAAUGAGAGGAGAGGCACUCUCAAUGAUACCAAUGUGUUGCAACGGUCUCAUUUGUUUGCU